UACGUAGGGUGCGAGCGUUGUCCGGAAUUAUUGGGCGUAAAGAGCUUGUAGGCGGUUUGUCGCGUCUGCUGUGAAAAUCCGGGGCUCAACCCCGGACUUGCAGUGGGUACGGGCAGACUAGAGUGUGGUAGGGGGAGACUGGAAUUCCUGGUGUAGCGGUGAAAUGCGCAGAUAUCAGGAGGAACACCGAUGGCGAAGGCAGGUCUCUGGGCAUUAACUGACGCUGAGGAGCGAAAGCAUGGGGGAGCGAACGGG
rnacentral:rRNA from 1 species